rnacentral:rRNA from 1 species
GACGAACGCUGGCGGCGUGCCUAAUACAUGCAAGUUGAGCGCUGAAGGUUGGUACUUGUACCGACUGGAUGAGCAGCGAACGGGUGAGUAACGCGUGGGGAAUCUGCCUUUGAGCGGGGGACAACAUUUGGAAACGAAUGCUAAUACCGCAUAAAAACUUUAAACACAAGUUUUAAGUUUGAAAGAUGCAAUUGCAUCACUCAAAGAUGAUCCCGCGUUGUAUUAGCUAGUUGGUGAGGUAAAGGCUCACCAAGGCGAUGAUACAUAGCCGACCUGAGAGGGUGAUCGGCCACAUUGGGACUGAGACACGGCCCAAACUCCUACGGGAGGCAGCAGUAGGGAAUCUUCGGCAAUGGACGAAAGUCUGACCGAGCAACGCCGCGUGAGUGAAGAAGGUUUUCGGAUCGUAAAACUCUGUUGGUAGAGAAGAACGUUGGUGAGAGUGGAAAGCUCAUCAAGUGACGGUAACUACCCAGAAAGGGA